AUAAGCUAUUAAGGGCUAAUGGUGGAUGCCUUGACUGUAAGAGGCGAUGAAGGACGUAUUAGGCUGCGAUAAGCCUCGGGGAGCUGCCAAAGAGCUUUGAUCCGAGGAUUUCCGAAUGGGGCAACCCAGCAUAUAGAGAUAUAUGUUACCCUACGGGGAGCGAACCUGGUGAAGUGAAACAUCUCAGUAGCCAGAGGAAGAGAAAUCAAAUGAGAUUCCCAUAGUAGCGGCGAGCGAACUGGGAUUAGGACAAACCCAAUGCUUGCAUUGGGGGUUGUAGGACUAUAAUGUGUAAUUAAAGAGAAUAGAUGAAUUAGUUGGAAAACUAGAGCAUAGAAGGUGAUACUCCUGUAAUUAAAAUUCUCAAUAAUACUAAUAGUAUCCUGAGUAGGUCGGAACACGUGAUAUUUUGACUGAAGCUGGGGGGACCACCCUCCAAUCCUAAAUACUACUUACAGAUCGAUAGUGAACAAGUACCGUGAGGGAAAGGUGAAAAGUACUGCAGCGAGCAGAGUGAAAUAGAACCUGAAACCAUUAGCUUACAAUCAUUCAGAGCCCUAUGAUUUAUCAGGGUGAUGGACUGCCUUUUGCAUAAUGAGCCUGCGAGUUGUGGUGUCUGGCAAGGUUAAGCCAAGUGCGAAGCCGUAGCGAAAGCGAGUCUUAAUAGGGCGACAUAGUCAGAUGCUGCAGACCCGAAACGAAGUGAUCUAUCCAUGAGCAGGUUGAAGCUGGUGUAAGAGCCAGUGGAGGACCGAACCCGCUGACGUUGAAAAGUCUUGGGAUGACUUGUGGAUAGGGGUGAAAGGCCAAUCAAACUUCGUGAUAGCUGGUUCUCUCCGAAAUAUAUUUAGGUAUAGCCUUGUGUUGUAGCAUAUAGGGGUAGAGCACUGAAUGGGCUAGGGCUGCUUACCGCGGUACCAAACCCUAUCAAACUAUGAAUACUAUAUGUGGAAUCACAGGAGUCAGGCGGUGGGUGAUAAAAUCCGUCGUCAAGAGGGGAACAACCCAGACUAACAGCUAAGGUCCCUAAGUUACAUCUAAGUGGAAAACGAUGUGGAGUUACUGUGACAACCAGGAGGUUGGCUUAGAAGCAGCCAUCCUUUAAAGAAAGCGUAACAGCUCACUGGUCUAGUGAUUCUGCGCGGAAAAUAUAACGGGGCUAAGAUGUACACCGAAGCUUUAGAUUCAAUUUUUAAUUGAGUGGUAGGAGAGCGUUCUAUUCAGCGUUGAAGGUAUACCGGUAAGGAGUGCUGGAGCGGAUAGAAGUGAGCAUGCAGGCAUGAGUAGCGAUAAUUAAGGUGAGAAUCCUUAACGCCGAAAACCCAAGGUUUCCUACGCGAUGCUCGUCAUCGUAGGGUUAGUCGGGUCCUAAGUCGAGACUGAAAAGUGUAGACGAUGGCAAAUUGGUUAAUAUUCCAAUACCAACAUAUAAGCGCGAUGUGGGGACGCAUAGAGUUAGUCGAGCUCACUGAUGGAAUAGUGGGUCGAAGGAUGUAGGUUGUUAAGUAGGCAAAUCCGCUUAACGUUAGACCGAGAUCUUACAGGCUCUUGACACUCUUCGGAGGAGAUGGAGAAUCGAUGAUACUGUCGUGCCAAGAAAAGCCACUAAGUUUAUUAUAUGUUGCCCGUACCGUAAACCGACACAGGUGGGUGGGAUGAGUAUUCUAAGGCGCGUGGAAGAACCCUCUUUAAGGAACUCUGCAAAAUAGCACCGUAUCUUCGGUAUAAGGUGUGCCUACUUUGGUAUAUGAACUUGCUUCAAAAAGCUAGAGAGGUUGCAACAAAGAGUCCCUCCCGACUGUUUACCAAAAACACAGCACUUUGCUAACACGUAAGUGGAUGUAUAAGGUGUGACGCCUGCCCGGUGCUCGAAGGUUAAUUGAUGAUGUCAGCGCAAGCGAAGCAUUUGAUCGAAGCCCGAGUAAACGGCGGCCGUAACUAUAACGGUCCUAAGGUAGCGAAAUUCCUUGUCAGUUAAAUACUGACCUGCAUGAAUGGCGUAACGAGAUGGGAGCUGUCUCAAAGAGGGAUCCAGUGAAAUUGUAGUGGAGGUGAAAAUUCCUCCUACCCGCGGAAAGACGGAAAGACCCCGUGCACCUUUACUACAGCUUGACACUGUAGCUUGGAUAUUCAUGUGCAGGAUAGGUGGGAGGCUAUGAUGACUAGACGCAAGUAGAGUCGGAGCCAUCCUUGAGAUACCACCCUUGAAUAUUUGAGUUACUAACUGCGAUGAGUUAUCCUCAUUCAGGACAAUGUCUGGUGGGUAGUUUGACUGGGGCGGUCGCCUCCUAAAUAGUAACGGAGGCUUACAAAGGUUAGUUCAAAGCGGAUGGAAAUCGCUUGUUGAGUAUAAUGGCAUAAACUAGCUUGACUGUGAGACCUACAAGUCGAACAGAGACGAAAGUCGGUCAUAGUGAUCCGGUGGUUCUGCGUGGAAGGGCCAUCGCUCAAAGGAUAAAAGGUACGCCGGGGAUAACAGGCUGAUCUCCCCCAAGAGCUCACAUCGACGGGGAGGUUUGGCACCUCGAUGUCGGCUCAUCGCAUCCUGGGGCUGUAGUCGGUCCCAAGGGUAUGGCUGUUCGCCAUUUAAAGCGGUACGCGAGCUGGGUUCAGAACGUCGUGAGACAGUUCGGUCCCUAUCUUCCGUGGGCGUAGGAAAGUUGAAGAGAUUUGUCCCUAGUACGAGAGGACCGGGAUGAACCAACCACUGGUGUACCAAUUGUUCUGCCAAGAGCAUCGUUGGGUAGCCACGUUGGGAUGUGAUAAGAGCUGAAAGCAUCUAAGCUCGAAGCCAACUCUAAGAUGAACUUUCCCUGAAGUUCCCAGCAAGACUAGCUGGUUGAUAGGCUGGAUGUGUAAUGGGUGUAAGCCCUUUAGCUGACCAGUACUAAUAGAACGUUUGGCUUAUUUUU
rnacentral:rRNA from 1 species